AUUGAACGCUGGCGGCACGCCUAACACAUGCAAGUCGAGCGGUAACAUGAUCUGUAGCAAUACAGAUUGAUGACGAGCGGCGGACGGGUGAGGAACACGUAGGAAUCUACCUUAGAGAGGGGGACAACCAAGGGAAACUUUGGCUAAUACCGCAUAAUCUCGAGAGAGAAAAGCUGCACGCAAGGGUGGCGCUUUAAGAGGAGCCUGCGUCCGAUUAGCUAGUUGGUGAGGUAAAGGCUCACCAAGGCGAUGAUCGGUAGCUGGUCUGAGAGGACGACCAGUCACACUGGGACUGAGACACGGCCCAGACUCCUACGGGAGGCAGCAGUGGGGAAUCUUGGACAAUGGGGGCAACCCUGAUCCAGCGAUGCCGCGUGGGUGAAGGAGGCCUUCGGGUUGUAAAGCCCUUUAGGUUGGGAAGAAGGUUAGUCGUUUAAGAGAUAGCUAACUUGACUGUACCGACAGAAUAAGCACCGGCAAACUCUGUGCCAGCAGCCGCUGUAACAC
rnacentral:rRNA from 1 species